rnacentral:rRNA from 1 species
UACGAAGGGGGCUAGCGUUGCUCGGAAUCACUGGGCGUAAAGCGCACGUAGGCGGCUUUCUAAGUCAGGGGUGAAAUCCUGGAGCUCAACUCCAGAACUGCCUUUGAUACUGGAGAGCUAGAGUCCGGAAGAGGUGAGUGGAACUGCGAGUGUAGAGGUGAAAUUCGUAGAUAUUCGCAAGAACACCAGUGGCGAAGGCGGCUCACUGGUCCGGUACUGACGCUGAGGUGCGAAAGCGUGGGGAGCAAACAGA